CGCAGAGUAGAGCAGCUUGGUAGCUCGUCGGGUUCAUACCCCGGAGGUCGCCGGUUCAAAUCCGGCCUCUGCAA
rnacentral:tRNA from 1 species